CACCGCUCCAGUCACUCCCGCCCCCGUCACUGCCCCCGCCGCGGCUCCUCCCACUCCCAAGCCCAAGGCCAAAGCCCCCGCGGCCGCACCACCCGCCAAGGCCACCGCCCCCGCUCCAGCAGCGCUCCCUCCCACCGUCGAGGCACCCGCAGCCGCCGCGCCAACACUCAUCCCCGAGGUGCCUUCCGCCGCGCCAGCCCCAUUGACCAAGCCCACCGACGCCCCCGCGCCGGCGCCGUCCAAGAAGAAGCGCUCGUCCAAGAAGAAGACGAAGGCGCCCGCGCCCGCCCCGGUCGCCGCGGCCCCCGUGAAAGCCAAGGCCGUGGCGCCUACCACCGCCGAGGCCGCCGCGGCUCCCGGGCCCAGCGGCGACUCCACCGCCGCCGACACCGCGGUACGUGCAUGCAUCUUAUCAGUGAUCACUGGAUUUGGGGCCCAAUAUAAUCCAUGCACACUCCAUGAAGCAAAUUUACGAGGCUGCCACCCGGACGGCAUGGCCAUGGCGGCCAGUGUGUCGGCGCGCAUGCACUGUUGGGUCAGCCCGGCACGCACGUGCUCCCGACUGGCUAAUUAACUCGCCUGACAUUAUUAGCUGGGGCAUUAACUUGCCUGACAUGAGAAUCAAAUCAAAUCACACCGUUGACGCCAGCAUGGAGGACCGUCCACGCUGCGCGCGUGGACCAUGCACACUAUUGUUUACUUCAUCGUCGGCGCGCAUUUUGCAACCAAACUACUUAACGUGUGCAAUGUGUCGAUGGUUGUCUUGCAGAGUGCCCCGGCGAGGAGCACCGGGAUGGCGGCCGCCGUGAUCGUGGCGGCGCUCGGCGCGGCGGCGAUGCUCACCUAGACCGACGGUCCCCGUCGAUCGGGCCGUGAUGAUGCGCGCGUCGGCCAUGUCACCCUUUUUCUCUUUUCGUUUUGUGUAUGUAAUUAUUUACGAGGGGUGAUGUGUUUGGGUCCUUUUCUUUCCUGCGUGCAGUAGAGCUCACAUUGUCGGGAUUCUUUUCCUUUGCUUUGUGUUGAGAGAGACGGGAGAGAGGUCAGAGUGUCACGGAUGAUAUGUACGAGAGACAGACGAGAGGGAGAGGGGACGCUGCCUGUGUAUUAUUGUUAAUUUUAUUCACAUUUAUAACGUAUUUAUAUCACAGUUACCAUUACGUUUUCAUCGUUGUCAUUGUUACAGUUGUUGUUGGUACCUUGACAUGACUGUGAAGCAGAAACAUUCUUUUGGUUUUGGUUUUCGGUUUUUCAUCUUUUGCCUGUUGUUAUUGGGGAAGAAAGGGAAAGCUGGGUUGAUGCCUUUUGCCAUGGUUAGACACGGCCGACCAUCAACUAACCACAAGGUUAC
rnacentral:lncRNA from 1 species